CCCUAUGAAGUCUUAUACCAUAGGCCUCCUCCCCUACUUUGGGCACUCCUAGAAACUCCUCAGGAGUGGGGAGAGAUUGAGUUAGGAUGCUAGUUACCAGCCCUAAGGAGAAUCACUUAGGAUACCUCAACCUAAGUAAAUAACAAAUGUCCUCUAAGUCUUUUUCUCCCCAAUUCACCCUUUCUCACUAGGUAAUCAUGUGUGGAUAAAGGACGGGAGUACAGCCCCUCUAAAGCCACAAUGGAAAGGACCUCAGACCUGAUCCUGACCAAUCCCACAGCAGUGAAGGUAGAGGAAAUCCCAGCCUGAAUCCACCACAGCUGUGUAAAAACCAGCAACAGCUGAGACUUAGACCAAGGAAAGGACUGCAGAAUCACCUUAAAAGGACAACAAGCCUUGCUCCAGCCAUGUCCUGGAAGCUGGCUGGUCCACGCAUGGCCAAAGCAUGAGGAGAUUCAUCAUGGGACUCAUUCUUCUUAAUAUUUGGACUUGCACAGUAAGAACAUUAACUAAUUUUGAAGAAUUCCCUCAGUAUGUACACCAGCAUUUCUCUAUUGAGAUUGAAGAUAUGAGGUGGAAGGGAAAAAGAAGAUGGCAUGGUAGAAGAAACUCAGGAUUGCAGCUCUAAGUGAAGACACAGAGGGUGAGUCCAAGCCGCAUUUCCAGACAGAUCUUUGGUGCCCAAAGAACGGGAGAAUUCCCAGGUGUAGGAGAGACAGGGGACUCCAGUGCAGCUGUUUCAGCUGGCGCGGCCAUUUCAGCCGGUGCCACAGUGCAAUAGCACUCCACACAAAACACACUGGCCUGCGUACCCUGUUAAACUAGAAAUCUGAGAUUUGGGGGGGCAGAUUAGCUUAUCCAUCUGAUUAAAUGGGACUUGGACAGUGAGCCAGUCCAGGAGAUUCCUGGAAAGUGACAUUUGAACCGGCACAGUGGGUUGCUGCAUGAGAAAUCACACAGCUCCUGGUGCCCUAUCAGCAGGCGACUGAAACACCUAGAAGAGAGUCAACCAUUCAACUAAAAAAAAGAAAAAGGGCUCUGAGGCAGGGAGCCAGGUGAUCAAACUCAGCAGGUCCCACCCCCACAGGGACAAACAAAACGAUGAUUCAAAACACUCGGGGUUGAGGGUUUCACUGUGGGCACAGCUGAAUCCAGGACAGUGCAGCUCAGUGGGGGAGGGGUGUCUGCCAUUCCCGAGGCAUUCCACCCCUACUGAGGUACACUCCCAUUGCUGAUGCAGCCUGUCAUUGCCAAGGCAGCCUGCCACAACACAGAGACUCUGCAAACAGGGUGGAGCCC
rnacentral:lncRNA from 13 species